rnacentral:rRNA from 1 species
UAAUUGAAGAGUUUGAUCAUGGCUCAGAUUGAACGCUGGCGGCAGGCCUAACACAUGCAAGUCGAACGGUAACAGGGAG